rnacentral:rRNA from 1 species
AUUGAACGCUGGCGGCAGGCCUAACACAUGCAAGUCGGACGGUAGCACAGAGAGCUUGCUCUCGGGUGACGAGUGGCGGACGGGUGAGUAAUGUCUGGGGAUCUGCCCGAUAGAGGGGGAUAACCACUGGAAACGGUGGCUAAUACCGCAUAACGUCGCAAGACCAAAGAGGGGGACCUUCGGGCCUCUCACUAUCGGAUGAACCCAGAUGGGAUUAGCUAGUAGGCGGGGUAACGGCCCACCUAGGCGACGAUCCCUAGCUGGUCUGAGAGGAUGACCAGCCACACUGGAACUGAGACACGGUCCAGACUCCUACGGGAGUCAGCAGGGGGGAAUAUUGCACAAUGGGCGCAAGCCUGAUGCAGCCAUGCCGCGUGUAUGAAGAAGGCCUUCGGGUUGUAAAGUACUUUCAGCCGGGAGGAAGGCGAUGUGGUUAAUAACCGCAUUGAUUGACGUUACCCGCAGAAGAAGCACCGGCUAACUCCGUGCCAGCCGCCGCCGUAA